rnacentral:lncRNA from 1 species
UGGUAACCACUACUUUGUUCUCUUUAUCUGAGUCUUCUUCUUGUUAUAUUCACUAGUUUAUUCUAGUUUUUAGUUUCCACUAUAAGUGAUAUCAUACAAUAUUUGACUUUCUCUUUCUGACUUAUUUCACUUAGCAUAAGCCCUCCAAGUCUAUCCAUGUUGCUGCAAAUGGCAACAUUUUGUUCUUUUUUAUGGCUGAGUAGUGUUCCACAUUUUCUUAAUCCAUGCAUUUGUUACUGGACACUUAGGUUGUUUCAAUGUCUCAGCAAUUGUAAGUAAAGCUACUAUAAGCAUUGGGGUACAUGUUUCAUUUUGUGUUUUUGUUGUUUUUCAGAUGUAUACGUCAUAUGGUAAUUCUAUUUUUAGUUUUUAAAGAAACCUCCAUACUGUUUGUACAAUUUCGGCACCAAUUUACAUUCCCACCAACAGUGUACAAGGGUUCUUUCUUCCCCAGUUCCUUGACAAUAUUUGUUAUCUGCAGACUUUGAUAACAGCCAUUCUGACAGGUGUGAGGUGAUAUUUCAUUGUGGUUUUGAUUUGCUUUUCUUUUAUAAUUAGUGAUGUUGAGCAUCUGUUCAUGUGCUUGUUGGCCAUCUGCGAUUCUUUGGAAAAAUGUCUAUUCAGUUCUUCUGCCCAUUUUUAAAUUGGGUUUUAGGGUUUUUUUGAUAUUGAGUUGUUACCUUCCAUAUAUAGUUAUUAUAAAAUAUAGGCUACACUCCACAUGUUGUAGAAUAUAUACUUGUAGCUUAUUUCAUACCUAAUAGCCUGUACCUCUUAAUCCCCUAGUCCUAUAUUGCCGCUCCCUGCUUUCCUCUUCCUACUGGAACCACUAGUUUGUUUUCUACAUCUGUGUCUGCUGCUUUUUUGUUAUAUUCACUAAUUUAUUGUACUUUUAAAAUUCCAUAUAUAGGAGUUCCUGUCGUGGCGCAGUGGUUAACGAAUCCGACUAGGAACCAUGAGGUUGCGGGUUCGAUCCCUGCCCUUGCUCAGUGGGUUAAGGAUCCGGCGUUGCCGUGAGCUGUGGUGUAGGUUGCAGACGCGGCUCGGAUCCUGCGUUGCUGUGGCUCUGGCAUAGGCCGGUGGCUACAGCUCCAAGUGGACCCCUAGUUUGGGAACCUCUGUGGCCCUAGAAAAGACAAAAAAUAAAAUAAAAAAUUAAAAAAAUAAAAUGGUAGGAGUUCCCGUUAUGGUGCAGUGGAAACGCAUCCAACUAGCAACCAUGAGGUUGCAGGUUCAAUCCCCUGGCCUCCUUCAGUGGGCUGAGGAUCUGGCGUUGCCAUGAGCUGUGGCGUAGGUUGCAGACACAGCUCAGAUCUGGCAUUGCAGUGGCUGUGGCAUAGUCUGGCAGCCGUAGCUCCGAUUGGAUCCCUAGCCCAGGGAACCUCCAUAUGCCAUGGGUGCAACCCUAAAAAGCAAAACAAAGAAAGAAAGAAAGAAAACGGUACAGCCACUGUGGAAACAGUUUGACGGUUUCUGAUAAAAUUAGGCAUAUAACUAUCAUCCGACCCAACAAUUGCACUUAUGGGCAUUUAUCCCAGAGAAAGAAAAACUUACUUUCACACAAAGACUUGUUCAGUUAUGUUCAUAGUAGUUUUAUCCGUGAUAGUCUCAAACUGGAAACAACUCAGAUGUUUUCAAAUGAUAGCUAAACUGUGGAUACUCAGCAAUAAAAAGAAAUAAACUGGUGGAGUUCCCGUCAUGGCUCAGUGGUUAACGAAUCCGAUUAGGAACCAUGAGGUUACGGGUUCGAUCCCUGGCCUUGCUCAGUGGGUUAAAGAAUCCGGUGUUGCCAUGAGCUGUGGUGUAGGUUGCAGACACGGCUCGGAUCCCGAGUUGCUGUGGCUCUGGCGUAGGCCAGCGGCUACAGCUCCGCUUCGACCCCUAGCCUGGGAACCUCCAUAUGCCUCGGGAGCUGCCCAAGAAACGGCAAAAAAAAAAAAAAAAAAAAAAAAAAAA